GAUGAACGCUGGCGGCGUGCCUAAUACAUGCAAGUCGAGCGAACGGACGAGAAGCUUGCUUCUCUGAUGUUAGCGGCGGACGGGUGAGUAACACGUGGAUAACCUACCUAUAAGACUGGGAUAACUUCGGGAAACCGGAGCUAAUACCGGAUGAUAUUUUGAACCGCAUGGUUCAAAAGUGAAAGACGGUCUUGCUGUCACUUAUAGAUGGAUCCGCGCUGCAUUAGCUAGUUGGUAAGGUAACGGCUUACCAAGGCAACGAUGCAUAGCCGACCUGAGAGGGUGAUCGGCCACACUGGAACUGAGACACGGUCCAGACUCCUACGGGAGGCAGCAGUAGGGAAUCUUCCGCAAUGGGCGAAAGCCUGACGAAGCAACGCCGCGUGAGUGAUGAAGGUCUUCGGAUCGUAAAACUCUGUUAUUAGGGAAGAACAUAUGUGUAAGUAACUGUGCACAUCUUGACGGUACCUAAUCAGAAAGCCACGGCUAACUACGUG
rnacentral:rRNA from 1 species